UACGGGGGGGGCAAGCGUUGUUCGGAAUUACUGGGCGUAAAGGGCUCGUAGGCGGCCAACUAAGUCAGACGUGAAAUCCCCAGGCUCAACCUGGGAACUGCGUCUGAUACUGGAUGGCUUGAAUCCGGGAGAGGGAUGCAGAAUUCCAGGUGUAGCGGUGAAAUGCGUAGAUAUCUGGAGGAAUACCGGUGGCGAAGGCGGCAAUCCUGGACCGGCAUUGACGCUGAGGAGCGAAAGCCAGGGGAGCAAAGCGGG
rnacentral:rRNA from 1 species